AAUAUAUUAAUAGUAUGUAGAAUUCGCUGGACAGGGCUAACUCGUAUUAAACGAAAUGUUGUUCUAUUUUCUCUUAUUUGUGAGUGUCGGAGGAGGUAUCGGGAGUAAUAUGGAACUGAAUGCAACGCUAUUGGAAUGGUUUCCACCACUAUACCGCUUAGAUGAUUGGGCGUUCUGUCAGAAGCCCACGGACAAAUAUUGCAUUGUUGACGCCGCGCUGUAUUCAAACAAGCCUUCAUCACUUCUUGAUGUUCUAAAGGAGUAUUCUUCCCAAACUUUGAAACACUUCAACAGGACCCAAAUUCACAGAGGUCUCUGCAUAACGCGAUGUGGGGUGAACACUACCGAUGAGCUGGAGGCAGCCCAGGCCUGCAUCAAUAACGAAGUUCAAAAAUAUGAGCUUCAGGCUGAAGUGCUUUCGCCGCAAAGAUGCUCUACGCCGGGUCCCAAGCGAGCUUCAGGAGCUGCGAUUGCACUGGGUGUCGUCAUGGCCUUGAUUUUAAUACUUACAAUAGCUGCUACUGUAGUGGAAUUUAAGCUUAAAA